UACGAGGUCGUUUUGUAAAUGAAUUUGAUGUUAUUAUAGAGGUUUUUUUUCAGUAGCUGGACACUUGAUAGUGUUCUUAAUUGGUCCACCCCGACCUGACCUCUUUAGCUGGUGGAGGUUAAAUGACACCGUAGGCCUCAACAAUUGUUUCUCAUAAUUUUAGUCUACAGUUGAUGGAUUAAGUGUAUAACAAUCACAAUUGACUUUUGGAUUAAAGGUUUAGGUGUAAAACAAUAACUUUUGGC
rnacentral:lncRNA from 1 species